rnacentral:lncRNA from 1 species
CCUCAUCUGAUAGUUAUUGAUGACAUACAAAUUAAUGAGUAGAUAACUCUUGUCCAAUACUUCUCAAGUAUGUUAUAGUAGUAAUCGAUCUUUAAGUUAUGUAGGCCUCACCUGAUAGUUAUUGGCCUCAUUCCUUAGUUAAGUCAGACCUACCAUUCAAUGUAGAUGUAAAGUCAUCAUUGGAUCGAUCCCUCAUUAGACCAUUAUUA